rnacentral:rRNA from 1 species
AAUAUUGGACAAUGGGCGCAAGCCUGAUCCAGCCAUGCCGCGUGUGUGAUGAAGGCCUUAGGGUUGUAAAGCACUUUCGCUAGAGAAGAUAAUGACGGUAUCUAGUAAAGAAGCCCCGGCUAACUUCGUGCCAGCAGCCGCGGUAAUACGAAGGGGGCUAGCGUUGUUCGGAUUUACUGGGCGUAAAGCGCACGUAGGCGGAUUGAUUAGUUAGGGGUGAAAUCCCGGGGCUCAACCCCGGAACUGCCUUUAAUACUGUCAGUCUAGAGACCGGAAGAGGUAAGUGGAAUUCCUAGUGUAGAGGUGGAAUUCGUAGAUAUUAGGAAGAACACCAGUGGCGAAGGCGGCUUACUGGUCCGGUACUGACGCUGAGGUGCGAAAGCGUGGGGAGCGAACAGGAUUAGAUACCCUGGUAGUCCACGCCGUA